GCAAGUCUGGUGCCAGCAGCCGCGGUAAUUCCAGCUCCAAUAGCGUAUAUUAAAGUUGUUGCAGUUAAAAAGCUCGUAGUUGAACUUUGGGCUUGGCUGGCCGGUCCGUUUUUUAACGAGUACUGGUUUUCAGCCGAGCCUUUCCUCCUGGUUUCUGUGUAGUUGGGCUUGUCUCAGCUGCAUAUGAUCCAGGACUAUUACUUUGAAAAAAUUAGAGUGUUCAAAGCAGGCGUUUAGCUCGAAUAUAUUAGCAUGGAAUAAUGAAAUAGGACGUAUGGUUCUAUUUUGUUGGUUUCUAGGACCAUCGUAAUGAUUAAUAGGGACGGUCGGGGGCAUCAGUAUUCAAUUGUCAGAGGUGAAAUUCUUGGAUUUAUUGAAGACUAACUACUGCGAAAGCAUUGCCAA
rnacentral:rRNA from 1 species